UACGGAGGGGGCUAGCGUUGUUCGGAAUUACUGGGCGUAAAGCGCGCGUUGGCGGACCUGCAAGUCGGGGGUGAAAGCCCGAGGCUCAACCUCGGAACUGCCUUCGAUACUGCGGGUCUCGAGUCCGGGAGAGGUGAGUGGAAUUCCUAGUGUAGAGGUGAAAUUCGUAGAUAUUAGGAAGAACACCAGUGGCGAAGGCGGCUCACUGGCCCGGUACUGACGCUGAGGCGCGAAAGCGUGGGGAGCAAACAGG
rnacentral:rRNA from 1 species